rnacentral:lncRNA from 1 species
AGGUACACAUGCUUUUACAUAAAAAUUCUUCCAGAUUAGAGUGAAGUGUUAUGGAGUUUAGUACCUGCACUUAAAUCUUAAGUAAUCGAAAGACAAAAUAGUUAAGUCAAGCACUAUCCCUCCUGUCUAUACUUCACCUUUGUUCUAGAGUUUUUCAUAAGUUUUCAAAAUAAAACUCAGAGUUCCCAGCAAUGAUCUCUCAAGUCUCUCUAUAUGUGGUAUUUGUGGAUCCUUACCAUGAUAUCACUUACCUAUAGCUAAUAGAAUAUUUAAGUGGAGCUCAUAGGAGUGGAAAACAGCUCAUACAUAUGUUGUCUAAUCGAGCCAUGGAUCCAAAGGAACUCAGCAUAUAAUUAAAUCAAGAUGUGCAUGUGUGGUGGAGUAAAUGAUAGUGAUGGUGAAAAUGCAAUAGUGUUAAUAAAUCUUAGUUCUCAUUGCUCCUCAUAUUGCUAUCUCUCCUCUUAUUUUUGAUCUUUGCUUUGGGAGAACAUGGGCUAUCUUUUUUCUUCUUCUUCUUUUUUUUUCAGGUGGGUAAUAGAUACCCCUAAUUCUACUGUCGGACACUUGUCCAUUUUUUCCGCUCAAGUGGGCAUUUUGUACCCCUAAUUCUACUUCGGACACUUGUCCAUUUUUACCUCUCGUCUCACUCUUUUUCUUUCUUUUCCGAGGUUCCGGGCACUUGCCCCUUUUUAUUUCCUCGUAUGUUUUUGCAUAACCCAUGCCUCUUCUGCAUUGAAUCUUUUUAGAGAGAGAGAAUAACAAUACUUGGGACAGUGAGUGAUAAUAUUUUUAGCAAUUUUAAUGAAUGGUGGUGGAUGCUGUGGUAGAUGUGUGCAAGUGAAUAUCUUAAUUUAACCACAUGAAAAGCUCCUAAGGGUCGACAUAGCUCGAUCAAACUCAAUGUAAAUAUAAUAAAAGAUGUUAUAGCAAGUAUGGUUGUGGUAGGUAGUUUUGUAUGCUAGGAACUCAUCAUGUGAUUUGUAAGUUUUCAAAAAUAAAUCUCCAGAACUUAGUGUAGUAGGAACAAGAUAAACAGCAGCUCAACUUUAUAUCAUGCCUUUCUCUUACCUAGACUUUAGUUUUAUGCUUCCCAAAGAUAGUGAUUUUAGUUUUAGUAAUUCCUGGAAGAACUCUUAAUAUAAAAGCUAGGUACUUGUAAGUAAGCAAACAGAGCACUUGUUCAUCAUUUCCAUCAUGCAUCUUUUUGGUCUUUUUAUUAUUUUUUUUAAACUUAGCAGGAAAAUAAAGCACACUUAUCUACUCUUUUUAUUUUGUUUUCAUGUUUAUAGAAUGCAGUAAAUUAAGAAAAUAUUUAUUUGGUUUUCUAAGUUUUUUUCCUUUUAAGAUAAAUUAAAUACUAAGCCAAAAUAGAAUAAAUAAGAAGAGCAAAUAGAAACUUACUUGAUAAAUUGGGGAUAAACUCCCCCAAGCUGGAUGUUGACGUCGGUCUUACCCGAUGUUCCAGAACCGCAUCAUGGUUGUGAUGUUGUCGUUCAUUGUUGUUGUAUCUUGUCUCAGCUCUUCUACUGCAGCGGCAUGGUCCUGGUUCCAUUUUUGUUGUUCUUCCAGGAGUCUUCCAUGUUCUGCUUGCGUGUUCUGGAUGUCGAGGAGGGUGUUGUCGGUACGAGUGAAGAAAGCACCGGCCUCUUGAUAGU